UACGUAGGGUGCAAGCGUUAAUCGAAAUUACUGGGCGUAAAGCGUGCGCAGGCGGCUUUGCAAGACAGAUGUGAAAUCCCCGGGCUUAACCUGGGAACUGCAUUUGUGACUGCAUGGCUGGAGUGCGGCAGAGGGGGAUGGAAUUCCGCGUGUAGCAGUGAAAUGCGUAGAUAUCAGGAGGAAUACCGAUGGCGAAGGCAGGUCUCUGGGCUGACACUGACGCUCAUGCACGAAAGCGUGGGGAGCGAACAGG
rnacentral:rRNA from 1 species